AGUGAACGCUGGCGAUAGGCCUAACACAUGCAGGUCGAACGGCAGCACAGUAAGAGCUUGCUCUUACGGGUGGCGAGUGGCGGACGGGUGAGGAAUACAUCGGAAUCUACUUUUUCGUGGGGGAUAACGUAGGGAAACUUACGCUAAUACCGCAUACGACCUACGGGUGAAAGCAGGGGAUCUUCGGACCUUGCGCGAUUGAAUGAGCCGAUGUCGGAUUAGCUAGUUGGCGGGGUAAAGGCCCACCAAGGCGACGAUCCGUAGCUGGUCUGAGAGGAUGAUCAGCCACACUGGAACUGAGGCACGGUCCAGACUCCUACGGGAGGCAGCAGUGGGGAAUAUUGGACAAUGGGCGCAAGCCUGAUCCAGCCAUACCGCGUGGGUGAAGAAGGCCUUCGGGUUGUAAAGCCCUUUUGUUGGGAAAGAAAAGCAGCAGGUUAAUACCCCGCUGUUCUGACGGUACCCAAAGAAUAAGCACCGGCUAACUUCGUG
rnacentral:rRNA from 1 species